rnacentral:rRNA from 1 species
ACGAACGCUGGCGGCGUGCUUAACACAUGCAAGUCGAACGGUGAAGCGCCUUCCUUUUUGGUGGGUGUGGAUGAGUGGCGAACGGGUGAGUAACACGUGAGUAACCUGCCCCCUUCUUCUGGAUAACCGCAUGAAAGUGUGGCUAAUACGGGAUAUUCUGGGUCUGUCGCAUGAUGGGUCUGGGAAAGAUAUUGUUUCGGUGGGGGAUGGGCUCGCGGCCUAUCAGCUUGUUGGUGGGGUGAUGGCCUACCAAGGCGGUGACGGGUAGCCGGCCUGAGAGGGUGGACGGUCACACUGGGACUGAGACACGGCCCAGACUCUUACGGGAGGCAGCAGUGGGGAAUAUUGCACAAUGGGCGCAAGCCUGAUGCAGCGACGCCGCGUGAGGGAUGGAGGCCUUCGGGUUGUGAACCUCUUUCGCCAGUGAAGCAGGCCUGCCUCGUUUGUGGGUGGGUUGACGGUAGCUGGAUAAGAAGCGCCGGCUAACUACGUG